AAUGCAGAUGGAUGGACAGUUGUGCAAGAAGCAACAGCCACGGGUGACCCAGAAAUCCUGAAGGUGGUGUUGGAAGGUAGAGAUGUAGAGCGCUAUUCCUCCCGAGUUGCUGGGAUACCUACACUCUUGGAAAAGCUCAAAGAGGCUCCUGACUUCUACGUGGAAAUGAAGUGGGAAUUUACAAGCUGGGUGCCUUUGGUUUCACGUAUGUGCCCAAGUGACACCUACAAAGUAUACAAGAGUGGCUCCAGUGUGCGUAUAGACACAACACUCCUAGGAUUUGAUCAGACUAGCUGGCAGAGGGGGAAUCGUAGCUAUAUUUUCAAUGGCCAA